CCCUCACGGGAGACAUCAAAUAUCUGUAAUGUUUCUGGAGGUCCAGGAAUGUCUGCAGCAAGACGGAGGUAAACACACCAUGGCACCGUGAAUAAAUUAAAGACUCAUACAUUGUGUGUCUCGUAUAUACCGUUUUAAAAAGAGGUGAGGGGAAUGGCAGAAGGGCCCAGGACUUACUGAUGCUGCUGCGACAUUCUAUGACUUCAGACUGCAAGUAGGAGCCAAUCCCAAAGCGGUUUGUCGCGGCCACUCGGAACACAUACUCGUUUCCUUCAAUGAGUCUGGUAAACUUAAAUGUUGAUCUGGUCACUGACUCAGACACAGGCAGCCAUCCAGGGCGGUGGGCAUCACGUUGUUCUACCACAUAGCCACUCAGCGGAGCGCCACCGUCCAAUUCGGGCGGUUCCCAGGAAAUGGUCACUGAAGUAGCAUCAAUUUCAUCAACCUUGAUAGGCCCAGAUGGUGGACCAGGCUUGUCUACAAAAGAAAAGGAAAUUCCAGAUAUUAAUUUUCACUUCAAAUCAAAAUUGGGUGACUGAGCACCAACAAUUUGCUUGUGCCUUUUCCCAUAUCCCUACCGAGAAUGAUGACUUUAAUGGUCUCCGACGUAGUUCCGGUUACAUUCUUCAGUUCAAGUACAUAGUCUCCAGUAUCUUUGAUAGUGGUUUCCCGGAUGGUUAAUUUAGCUACCUUAGUAUGAGUUUCAACUGUGACACGCUCUGAUUCUCUUAGUUUAGAACCAGCGAAGAACCAGGAAGCAGCAGGAGGUGGGCGACCAGCGAUUGGUAUCACCAGCUCUACCGGUCUGCCAGCUGGGACAUGGAUGGUCUUUUGAGGCAUUGCAGAAAGAUCAAUUGUUGGCAACACUAUGAGAAAGAAAGUAGGUAUUUAUUCUUAAGUAUAAUUUCUAAUGACAGGAUGUCAUGAAUUCUGAAUGUUUCAUUUUGCUUUACUAUUAUUGUUAUCUUGGUGUUUUGGUACAUACCUCUGAGGUCUCGUACAGUCACGGCUGUGACUAUCUCUCUUGGUUCUGACACACCUUUCUCGUUUUGUGCCCUUACUCUAAAUAAGUACUGUUCACCUUCAUUUAAGGAAAUAACAGUGUGCUCUAGGACUGUGGGUUUUAAGGUGACAACCUUCAUCCAUCUCUCAGUGCCAGCUUUGCAGGCCUCGAGAACAUAGCCAGUGAGUCGGCUCCCACCGUCAUAGAGUGGUUUCUCCCAGGCAAGGGUAACAGUGGAUUUGGUGACAUCGACCACUUCUAGCUUUGUAGGCACCAAAGGCACUUCCGAGACCAGAACUGCAUCAGAUGUUUCACAAGGUUCUCCAAUGCCAUAAAUAUUUUCUGGCAACACCCUGAAAUAGUACAUGGCUCCUUCUAUAAGUCCAGAAAUCCUGUAGAGUGUCUUGCUGCAUUUGGUAGUUACUGUUUUGAAUGCUCUCAUGGCAGCUUCACGCUUUUCAAUAAUAUAAUUGUUGACAGGCGCUCCACCAUCGAUUGUGGGAACUUCCCAAGUGAUGGUCACAGAAUCUCUUGAUACUUCCUUAACUUUCACUGAAGGACAUGGGCCAGGAGUAUCUAAAAAAACAGAAUGAAGGAUCCAUACUUCUUAUUUGACAGAUUAGUUGAUAGAUUUUUGGGGGAAAGGGGUUAGGAAAAUAUACUUAACAUAGUCCCUUCUAGAGAGGUGAUCAAUCAGAGGUCAAGGUGUUUGUUUCUAAAGAAUCUACUCAUCGCAUAGUAUUAAGACCAAUACUUACCGUAUACUUUAACAAGGACAGUUGCUGAUUUCUUGCCAGAUUGGUUUUCGGCUUCAAUGGUGUAUUUUCCAGCAUCAUACCGGUUAACUUUGUCCACAAUAAGCAAAGAGUAACUCUCAGUGGUGUCGAUGAUUGCCCGACUUGCAAGGUCAAUGCCCUUUUUGCUCCAUGUGAUGACGGGUGGUGGUCUUCCAGAUACAGACACCAUCAGCCGUAGUGAGGCCCCAGCUCUGAUGGUCACGGUCUUCUUUAAAUCAUCUGCAAGCUCCAGAUCCGG